rnacentral:sRNA from 1 species
CGCUGGCUGGCGUGGCCCUUGGCCGUCGUCACCUGUGGAGAGCACGUCUUCCCUGCCGCGCCCUCUGCGCGAGGAGGAGACUCGACAACAUGUCACCCGCGCUCCAAGACCUGUCGCAACCCGCAGGUCUGAAGAAAACCCUGCGGGAUGAGAUCGAUGCCAUUCUGCGGAAGAGGAUUAUGGUGCUGGAUGGAGGGAUGGGGACCAUGAUCCAGCGGGAGAAGCUAAACGAAGAACACUUCCGAGGUCAGGAAUUUAAAGAUCAUGCCAGGCCACUGAAAGGCAACAAUGACAUUUUAAGUAUAACUCAGCCCGAUGUCAUUUACCAAAUCCAUAAGGAAUACUUGCUGGCUGGGGCAGAUAUCAUUGAAACAAAUACUUUUAGCAGCACUAGUAUUGCUCAAGCUGACUAUGGCCUUGAACACUUGGAAUUAAGAGGUUUGUGGCAGGGGCUCUGGGUCCGACUAAUAAGACACUCUCUGUGUCCCCAUCUGUGGAAAGACCGGAUUAUAGGAACAUCACAUUUGAUGAGCUUGUUGAAGCAUACCAAGAGCAGGCCAAAGGACUUCUGGAUGGUGGGGUUGAUAUCUUACUCAUUGAAACUAUUUUUGAUACUGCCAAUGCCAAGGCAGCCUUGUUUGCACUCCAAAACCUUUUUGAGGAGAAAUAUGCUCCCCGGCCUAUCUUUAUUUCAGGGACGAUUGUUGAUAAAAGUGGGCGGACUCUUUCUGGACAGACAGGAGAAGGAUUUGUCAUCAGCGUGUCUCAUGGAGAACCACUCUGCAUUGGAUUAAAUUGUGCCUUGGGUGCAGCUGAAAUGAGACCUUUUAUUGAAAUAAUUGGAAAAUGUACAACAGCCUAUGUCCUCUGUUAUCCCAAUGCAGGUCUUCCCAACACCUUUGGUGACUAUGAUGAAACGCCUUCUAUGAUGGCCAAGCACCUAAAGGAUUUUGCUAUGGAUGGCUUGGUCAAUAUAGUUGGAGGAUGCUGUGGUUCAACACCAGAUCAUAUCAGGGAAAUUGCUGAAGCUGUGAAAAAUUGUAAGCCUAGAGUUCCACCUGCCACUACUUUUGAAGGACAUAUGUUACUGUCUGGUCUAGAGCCCUUCAGGAUUGGACCGUACACCAACUUUGUUAACAUUGGAGAGCGCUGUAACGUUGCAGGAUCAAGGAAGUUUGCUAAACUCAUCAUGGCAGGAAACUAUGAAGAAGCCUUGUGUGUUGCCAAAGUGCAGGUGGAAAUGGGAGCCCAGGUGCUGGAUGUCAACAUGGAUGAUGGCAUGCUAGAUGGUCCAAGUGCAAUGACUAGAUUUUGCAAUUUAAUUGCUUCCGAGCCAGACAUUGCAAAGGUACCUUUGUGCAUCGACUCCUCCAAUUUUGCUGUGAUUGAAGCUGGGUUAAAGUGCUGCCAAGGGAAGUGCAUUGUCAAUAGCAUUAGUCUGAAGGAAGGAGAGGACGACUUCUUGGAGAAGGCCGGGAAGAUUAAAAAGUAUGGAGCUGCUGUGGUGGUCAUGGCUUUUGAUGAAGAAGGACAGGCAACAGAAACAGACACAAAAAUCAGAGUGUGCACCCGGGCCUACCAUCUACUUGUGAAAAAACUGGGCUUUAAUCCAAAUGACAUCAUUUUUGACCCUAAUAUCCUAACCAUUGGGACUGGAAUGGAAGAACACAACUUGUAUGCCAUUAAUUUUAUCCAUGCAACGAAAGUCAUUAAAGAAACAUUACCUGGAGCCAGAAUAAGUGGAGGUCUUUCCAACUUGUCCUUCUCCUUCCGAGGAAUGGAAGCCAUUCGAGAAGCAAUGCAUGGGGUUUUCCUUUACCAUGCAAUCAAGUCUGGCAUGGACAUGGGGAUAGUGAAUGCUGGAAACCUCCCUGUGUAUGAUGAUAUCCAUAAGGAACUUCUGCAGCUCUGUGAAGAUCUCAUCUGGAAUAAAGACCCUGAGGCCACUGAGAAGCUCUUACGUUAUGCCCAG